UGACCCGUCUUGAAACAAGGACCAAGGAGUCUAACAUGUGCGCGAGUCAUUGGGCUCUGCGAAACCUAAAGGCGAAAUGAAAGUAAAGGCUAGCUUGCUAGCUGAGGGGUGAUGACCGUUCCUUCAAAGGGCGGUCCGCAACCCCGGGGCGUCUCAUUCUCUUUGAGAAGUGGCGCACCCAGAGCGUACACGUUGGGACCCGAAAGAUGGUGAACUAUGCUUGGCCAGGACGAAGUCAGGGGAAACCCUGAUGGAGGUCCGUAGCGAUUCUGACGUGCAAAUCGAUCGUCGGAGCUGAGUAUAGGGGCGAAAGACUAAUCGAACCAUCUAGUAGCUGGUUC
rnacentral:rRNA from 2 species